UACAGAGGGUGCAAGCGUUAAUCGGAUUUACUGGGCGUAAAGCGUGCGUAGGCGGUUCGCUAAGUCGGUUGUGAAAUCCCUGGGCUUAACCUGGGAACUGCAGUCGAUACUGGUGGACUAGAGUACGGUAGAGGGUGGCGGAACUCCGGGUGUAGCGGUGAAAUGCGUAGAGAUCUGGAGGAACACCCGUGGCGAAGGCGGCGCCCUGGUCCGUUACUGACGCUGAGACGCGAAAGCGCGGGGAGCGAACGGG
rnacentral:rRNA from 1 species